rnacentral:rRNA from 1 species
UGGGGAAUAUUGGACAAUGGGCGAAAGCCUGAUCCAGCCAUGCCGCGUGAGUGAUGAAGGCCUUAGGGUUGUAAUGCUCUUUUGGCGGGGACGAUAAUGACGGUACCCGCAGAAUAAGCCCCGGCUAACUUCGUGCCAGCAGCCGCGGUAAUACGAAGGGGGCUAGCGUUGUUCGGAAUUACUGGGCGUAAAGCGCACGUAGGCGGAUCAGCAAGUCAGGGGUGAAAUCCCGGGGCUCAACCUCGGAACUGCCUCUGAUACUGCUGGUCUGGAGUCCGGAAGAGGUGGGUGGAAUUCCUAGUGUAGAGGUGAAAUUCGCAGAUAUUAGGAAGAACACCGGUGGCGAAGGCGGCCCACUGGUCCGGUACUGACGCUGAGGUGCGAAAGCGUGGGGAGCAAACAGGAUUAGAUACCCAUGUAGUCCCUGAGCGGGCUGGCAAGGCGCAU